CGUACUUCACUUCUCAGAGUUUCCAAGUGAUUAUGAUCUUUGCUGGGGCUUCCAAUGCUGAAGUCUGAAAUCCCUAAGACUGGGAAAGACUGUGUUAUACUAUUGUCUUGCAGGACAUUUUUGUUAAUUGAAACCCUUACUCAAACUGAUUUUUACUGAACUAAAAAAGAAUUUCAGGACCAGGCCUAAAAAUUAGGAUUUCAACCUAAUUUCAACCUACCCCGCAGGGCAAAUCAGAGAUCGCUGUUGCAGCUAUGAUUCUAACAGGAGCUUUAAAAUGACAGCCAGGUGGUAUCUUUGAUGUUAUUGCUACAGCCCUCUAUGGAUACCUUCCACUUCUCUUGGGAGUUCAAAGGAGAGCAUUACUUAUCACAUUGUGUUCUCAAAGUUCUGAAGUGGGUAGAAGUGAAAAUCAGCAGGACAUUUCAAGAUUUUAUCUCAAGUUGUGAUCCUUUUAAGGAUUUUGCUUUUUUAGCUGACAUUCUGUCAUUCUUUGUCAGUUUUCUCAAAUGUAAAUAACCUGCAGAUAUGCAACUUCAGCUUCCAGAAUUCUGAUAAAUGGUCAUGUUUGACUGGAGUCCUAUAGUCUACAUACCUGGAAAUAGAGAAAAUUACUCUCUUUC